CUUGGAUGUGUUGUCUCAAUGAGUGGCCCCUGGGUGUGAUGGCUCAGUGGGGGGCCCUGGGUUUGCUGGCUCAGUGAGUGUCACCCCCUCUGCAGCAGUGAGUGUGGCACACAGAGCUGGGCUGGAAGCCCCGGUUGCUGCAGGUGGAUGCUCCUCCCUGUCUCUGCUCCUCCUGCAGGAUGCUGCAUCCAGCCCUUUGUGCAUCAGCCUGCUCUCUGCAUCUCCCAGGAGGAGGGGGGGUGAUGGAGCGCAGGGCGAGCUCAGGGGGGACCUCACUAUAAUUCACUGCUGGCCGGCCUCUGUCUCCUGAGC